AUUGAACGCUGGCGGCAGGCCUAACACAUGCAAGUCGAACGGUAACAGGAAGCAGCUUGCUGCUUCGCUGACGAGUGGCGGACGGGUGAGUAAUGUCUGGGAAACUGCCUGAUGGAGGGGGAUAACUACUGGAAACGGUGGCUAAUACCGCAUAACGUCGCAAGACCAAAGAGGGGGACCUUAGGGCCUCUUGCCAUCGGAUGUGCCCAGAUGGGAUUAGCUAGUAGGUGGGGUAACGGCUCACCUAGGCGACGAUCCCUAGCUGGUCUGAGAGGAUGACCAGCCACACUGGAACUGAGACACGGUCCAGACUCCUACGGGAGGCAGCAGUGGGGAAUAUUGCACAAUGGGCGCAAGCCUGAUGCAGCCAUGCCGCGUGUAUGAAGAAGGCCUUCGGGUUGUAAAGUACUUUCAGCGGGGAGGAAGGGAGUAAAGUUAAUACCUUUGCUCAUUGACGUUACCCGCAGAAGAAGCGCCGGCUAACUCCGUG
rnacentral:rRNA from 1 species